rnacentral:rasiRNA from 1 species
AGACAACGAAAUUAUAAUAUCCAAA